rnacentral:ncRNA from 1 species
CCAGAAAAAAGAGAUAAAGGCGUCCGAUUAGGACUUAAUAGGGAAGACGGUGUGAAUCCGUCGCGGUCCCGCCGCUGUAACCGGGGACAAAAGCCGCAUUCGGCCACUCUUGCCAUGGGCAAGGGGAAGGCGCGGCGAGUAGGAAGAGCCGGAAGUCAGAAGACCUGCCUUAGAUCUGAUAAAGUC